rnacentral:rRNA from 1 species
GUGUCAGCCGCCGCGGUAAUACGUAGGGUCCGAGCGUUAAUCGGAAUUACUGGGCGUAAAGCGUGCGCAGGCGGUUUUGUAAGCCAGAUGUGAAAUCCCCGGGCUUAACCUGGGAACUGCAUUUGGGACUGCAAGGCUGGAGUACGGCAGAGGGAGGUGGAAUUCCAGGUGUAGCAGUGAAAUGCGUAGAGAUCUGGAGGAACACCGAUGGCGAAGGCAGCCUCCUGGGCUAGUACUGACGCUCAUGCACGAAAGCGUGGGGAGCAAACAGGAUUAGAAACCCUAGUAGUCC